rnacentral:rRNA from 1 species
AGCGAACGCUGGCGGCAGGCCUAACACAUGCAAGUCGAACGGACCCUUCGGGGUUAGUGGCGGACGGGUGAGUAACACGUGGGAACGUGCCUUUAGGUUCGGAAUAGCUCCUGGAAACGGGUGGUAAUGCCGAAUGUGCCCUUCGGGGGCAAGAUUUAUCGCCUUUAGAGCGUCCCGCGUCUGAUUAGCUCGUUGGGGAGGUAACGGCUCACCAAGGCGACGAUCAGUAGCUGGUCUGGGAGGAUGACCAGCCACACUGGGACUGAGAGACGGCCCAGACUCCUGCGGGAGGCAGCAGUGGGGAAUCUUGCGCAAUGGGCGAAAGCCUGACGCAGCCAUGCCGCGUGAAUGAUGAAGGUCUUAGGGUUGUAAAAUUCCUUCACCGGGGACGAUAAUGACGGUACCCGGAGAAGAAGCCCCGGCUAACUUCGUGCCAGCCGCCGCCGUAA